UUUUUCCUGCAAAGCUAAUGCUCCUAAAUAUUAUCAGAUCAACCCUAAGGAAUCAAAAUGUUCCAGUCCAGUUAACAAGUUCAGUGGUACGAGUGUGCAAGGGUUCCCAGCCUGUCCAGUAGGCAGGCGUUCUCUCAGGAACAAUCCCUGCUUAGAUGAGUUCCUGGAUGCUUCCACCCAUAUGAGAGAGGAGAAAGCUACAGAUACCGUAUCAGGAUGGCCAAGCUUUCUUCAGCUAAGCAAAUUAAUCUGUAGAGAAACAAAGCAAAAUGCAAGUUAA
rnacentral:lncRNA from 1 species